rnacentral:lncRNA from 1 species
CUUGAGACAAAAAAGUAGACACCAAAUACUUACCUGCAUUAUUUGGCUGCAAAAAUGAUUCCAACGAACAAGAAUUUUAAAAUGGGACUGACCCAAACAUAAAAUUAAAAACGGGACUGACCCGAACAGAAAAUGUAAAAUGGGUUAAACCCGAACAGAAACGUAAACGGGAUAGACCCAAACAGAAAAAUGAAAAAUGGGAUAGACCCACGGGAUAGACCCGAACAGAAAAUGUAAAAUGGGAUAGAUCCAAACAGGAAAUGUAAAAUGGGAUAGAUCCAAACAGAAACGUAAAUGGGAUAGACCCACGGGAUAGACCCGAACAGAAAAUGUAAAAUGGGAUAGACCCAGACAGAAAUGUAAACGGGAUAGACCCACGGGAUAGACCCGGACAGAAAUGUAAACGGGAUAGACCCGGACAGAAAUGUAAAUGGGAUAGACCCACGGGAUGUUGUGAAGUUGGCGGCACG